rnacentral:misc_RNA from 1 species
CGCUUCAUCCCAGUUGAAAAAUCUACACAAGCAUAGUAAUAGAAUAAUAAUCCCUUAACAACUGCAAAAAAUUAAACUAGCUAGAAGAAAGGAUCAUAUAUUGAUGAAAAUUCAGUUGCCUUGAAGAAUGCGAUGGGCAGAGCUUAAACAAAGGCCUUGCUGUGUUUAUCAGUCAGAAUCAUAAACUUGUACAACAAUAAUCAUGUUUUGAGUGAGGGGAAAAAUAAAAGAAGGAACAGACUGCGUCAGAAAACCUUCUACCACAUGAGAAUCCAACUAUAUAAUACAAGCUUGUUUGUGUUUUCGACCCUCCACUAGAGGACUAAAUCCAUAGAAUUUCUCCUAAAUUUUUUGUUAAAAGGAAGAUAAAAGUUAAAAGUAAGCAAAAUAAAAUAAUUACCGACAGCUUUUUGGCAAUGCACAAAUCAGUCCUUCUCCACCUGGGUGAACAGCCAUUCUAUAAGGCAAAUCAGAACCAAGUCCAAGCUUAACUG